rnacentral:rRNA from 1 species
UACAGAGGGUGCGAGCGUUAGUCGGAAUUACGGGGCGUAAAGCGUACGUAGGUGGCGACGUAAGUCGGGUGUGAAAGCCCCGGGCUAAACCUGGGAAUUGCAUUCGAGACUGCAUUGCUGGAGUACGGAAGAGGAGGGCGGAAUUCCCGGUGUAGCGGUGAAAUGCUUAGAUAUCGGGAGGAACAUCAGUGGCGAAGGCGGCCCACUGCGCCAGUACUGACACUCAAGUUCGAAGGCGUGGGGAGCAAACAGG